rnacentral:tRNA from 1 species
UAAAAUAUAGUUUAAAAAAAACAUUAUAAUUUCAUUAUAAAAAUUUAUAAUCAUAAUAUUUUAA